rnacentral:sRNA from 14 species
UUGUCUUGCCGGUGUCCUUCUCCUCCCUUCGGAUGCCGGCAGGAUCGGCGCUCUACCUCCUCGAGUGCGGAUCGCCCUCAAUAAGAAAAGCCUGCCGCUCCCUCCCGCGGCAGGCUUUUUGU